AAAGUACUCCCUCCAUCCCAAAAUUCUUGUCUUAGAUUUGUCUAGAUACGGAUGUAUCAAGUCACAUUUUAGUAUUAGAUACAUCCGUAUCUAAACAGAUACAUCCAUAUCUAGACAAAUCUAAGACAAGAAAUUUGGGACAGAGGGAGUAGUUG
rfam:Triticum aestivum genome assembly, contig: Triticum_aestivum_CS42_TGACv1_scaffold_106379_2AL